UAAACGACUCUCGACAACGGAUAUCUCGGCUCUCGCAUCGAUGAAGAACGUAGCGAAAUGCGAUACUUGGUGUGAAUUGCAGAAUCCCGUGAACCAUCGAGUCUUUGAACGCAAGUUGCGCCCGAAGCCAUUAGGCCGAGGGCACGCCUGCCUGGGCGUCACAC
rnacentral:rRNA from 2 species